AUGACUUUCCACCCUGUGCUGGUGGUGGGCCAGGCUCCCUUAACCAAUUCAGGUGGGUGGGUAGGGGUUGGAAUUGAGACCAGUUCAAAUGCUCUCUUUAGGAUGUUUCCCCGGGGGCACCAUCUCCCUACUAUCCCCUCCCAUUUCUUCUCUUCACAGUUGGUCAUUGUAUUUUUUUAUGGCAUCUAUUUGUUUAAUGCCUGUCUCCCCGACUGGAAUGUGAACUCCCUGAGGGCAGGCACCCCGCUUUGUUCACCACUGUGUUCCCAGGGCUCUUCACAGUGCCCCGCACAAAGUGCAGCUCAUUGGAGAGUGAAGAACAAUGAAGGGACAGACAGAGGGAUGGGCGGACACAGCCUCAGACAAAGGAAGAAGGAAAGAGAAAGAGGCCACCCUUGUGCUGGGUCUGGGAGAGAAGGGAGCCAGUAUCUUUUACGGAGCUGCGAGAUUGUCACACAACCUGGGAAUGAGCAACCUACGUGCUUCCUAAUCCAAAGUUGGUCACGACAAGACAAAAUCUUUCAUCAGUCUAGAUUGACACGGAGAACAGCUGGAAUUCUUCCCAAGACAUCUUCAAUAAGAAAAGGAGCUCUGCUCAUGUGUGAUCGGAGGGAUGGAAGCAAGACUGGAGUACCAGGACCCUGGGUGGAGACAAGCCUGGCUUGUACCCCUGACUCCCCCUCUGCUGACUGCACACACCUCACUCUCCCAGAGUCCGGAGGCUUUCCAGUCAGAGGCCAAGUCCUAAGGAAGGAAGUUCAGGAGCCCAGAGCUGGGAGGCAACUCACUGGGUCUGCACAUUCUUCCUAGAUUAGUAACACACAUUCUCUUGCUAGUUCAUUGUGAGCGAGUUGGGAGCGCUUUCCUUUUUCUCUUUUAGGGAGGUCAUGUCACGAUUCUACACACGCUUCUAAUUGCAGUCCCCCCCCCCCCCCACCUCCCGCCUCCCGCAGAAACGAAUGGAGCAUUUUCCAGGUCAGAUUGGUGUUUAGUCAUCUGGACACGAGUCCCCCCUUCCUCUUGCCUUAAUCUUUCCCAGGCUGGAUUCUGUCUUUGAAACAAUAGGAAAUGACAAGGUCUAUUUUUCUUUUCUUGAAAGGACUCAAACCAUGGAGUCAUGAGUUGGAACGGAGAAAGUACGGGGAAUGAAUCUGUACCCCCAAUAGGAAGUGACCAACUUUCCUCCUUUUGUUCUGCCCGAGUCCAGCGGGCUGAGCUCAUGAUAUGCCAGAGAAUUUGCUUAAAAGCAGGAAGGCGGCAUGUUCACCUCAAGAUAAAUUCCCAGUUGGAUUGUCUGUUGGACCCACUCUGAGAUGCAGUCAGGCUGUGAGCGGUCUUCAAGCAAAGAUUGGGAACCUUUCAAAGAGGGGGUCUGCUAGGAGAAUUCCUGGGGCCCUGGAUGAUCUUAAGGCACCCCCUGUGAGCCAGUUACUAGAUGAGCUUUCUAAGUGUUGAUUUUUGGGGUGCCUGGGUGGCUCAGUGGUUGAGCGUCUGCCUUUGGCUCAGCUCGUGACCCUGGGGUCCUGGGAUCAAGUCCCGCAUCGGGCUCCCCCACGGAGCCUGCUUCUCCCUCUGCCUAUGUCUCUGCCUCUCUCUGUGUCUUUCAUGAAUAAAAUCUUUUUUAAAAAUGUGUUGAUUUUCAUUUCUCUGACAGAAUUAAGCUGUAAUUUGCUAUUUCCAAGAUAUUGUGCGUAACUGGAUAGUGAUCAGUCACAUCAGAAGCAAUUACUGUUCCAAGAGUUUGAGGCCAGGCCCUGCUGGCUGAGGGUGGGCUGGAUAGGUGAGUCCCUUAUCACCCGGGAAGGAUGCUGCCCAAGGACUGUGAUGCCAUCCUUCCUGCCACGUGUCAGACUGGUCCCGUGGCCUGGAGCCCAGAUCCACCUCUGGUGCCCUGCGCCGCCGUCAGCCUGUUUUCCCACGGCACCUCCCUACUCUGGCUCUUCCCCAUUCCCAAACGUGCCCUUCCGGCUCCCACCUUCUGGCCUCUCACUGCUGCUUGUCUCUGCACCUCCCCACCUCGAUUCACCUUUCAAAAUUCUGCUUGUUCCAGGACACCUGGGUGGCUCAGUGGUUGAGCGCUUCCCUUCAGCUCACGGCGUGAUCCUGGAGACUGGGAUCGAGUCCCGCAUUGGGCUCCCUGCAUGGAGCCUGCUUCUCCCUCUGCCUGUGUCUCUGCCUCUCUCUGUGUGUCUCUCAUGAAUAAAUAAAUAAAAUCUUAAAAAAAAAUUCUGCUCAUUCCUUGAGGACCAGGCUGAGCAUCCUUGCCAUCUCUCUUUGCUCUCAGGCCACCUGCUUUGACCAUUUACUGUCAUUCUUCUACCUUGUUUGUGAAGCCAGGACGUCCAGAGGAUAAAGGAAAAGUCGGCUCUGCUCCUGGGUUCCAUGGAGAUGUGAGACACUGAA
rnacentral:lncRNA from 1 species